GGACAGAGCAAAAAAAACAAGGCAUCAGUAUUGUUGAGUAUUAGCUUGUACCUGGUUCCGAGGCUAAAUCCCUGGUCAGCCAGGCGGGGCACUGUGGUCUAGUGCUGUCCCCACAGUCUCUAGGGGAGGUGAUCUUGCUGGGGACAAUUGAUAGGUGCCUGUCACUGGGUGGAGCAUUGACCUACCAGCCAGGCCUCUGGAAAAGGAGUCCCCAACCUGGGCAGCUUCUGCCUUGUCGCUUUAGUUACUUGGGCAUCCAGCUUGUCCGAGGACAGGUGUCUACACUGCAGAGUAGUGAGGCCAGCUAGAGCCGGGCUCUGCUGGAACAAGCAGGAUGGAUCUCAUCUGGCCUCCCAGGCCCAGCCGAGAGAGGCUCCAAAGGAAAGCAGAGUUUCUGGCAGCACCUGCCCUGCCCACCUGGGGCGUGAAGGAUCCUUGAGCUCUGGCAGGGCAGAGACGGAAAGACAUAAGAGCGCAGAGAGAAGAGAGGCGCCUGGGCUCUCGGAGGAGGGUGAUGCAUGGAGACGCAAUGUCCCUUAUACAAGAUGUUGAUGGAAUUUACUAUAUAAAAAUCUUCCUCCUAGAGUAAAGAGUAUCAACAUUACAACUCGACAGACGGAGGCGGGAUAAGUAAAACAGACAAAAGACAAACAAGAUAAUAAUCUGUUUCCAAUCACUUAAGCCCCGUAGAGUUAGUAAUAUGCGGCUUGCAUAUUCCCCCUUGAGUUCGGUAAUUAAUUACCGCGGAGGAGGCGCACACCCGCGGGGGGGCGGGGAGU